rnacentral:ncRNA from 1 species
UUAAUGGAGAGUUUGAUCCUGGCUCAGGACGAACGCUGGCGGCGUGCCUAAUACAUGCAAGUCGAGCGGAUUGUU